AACGAACGCUGGCGGCAGGCCUAACACAUGCAAGUCGAGCGCCCUUUCGGGGGCGCGGCGGUCGGGUGAGUAACGCGUGGGAAUAUGCCCUUCUCUACGGAAUAGCCUCGGGAAACUGAGAGUAAUACCGUAUACGCCCUGUGGGGGAAAGAUUUAUCGGGGAAGGAUUAGCCCGCGUGGGAUUAGGUAGUUGGUGGGGUGAUGGCCUACCAAGCCGACGAUCCAUAGCUGGGUUGAGAGGAUGAUCAGCCACACUGGGACUGCGACACGGCCCAGACUCCUACGGGAGGCAGCAGUGGGGAAUCUUAGACAAUGGGGGCAACCCUGAUCUAGCCAUGCCGCGUGAGUGAUGAAGGCCUUAGGGUUGUAAAGCUCUUUAAGCUGGGAAGAUAAUGACGGUACCAGCAGAAGAAGCCCCGGCUAACUCCGUG
rnacentral:rRNA from 1 species